AAUAGAUACCCAGGUAGUCCACGCCGUAAACGAUGGAUGCUAGCUAUUGGGGGGAAUCGACCCCCUCCGAAGCGAAGCUAACGCGUUAAGCAUCCCGCCUGAGUAGUACGAGCGCAAGCUUAAAACUCAAAGGAAUUGACGGGGACCCGCACAAGCGGUGGAGCGUGUGGUUUAAUUCGAUGGUAAACGAAGAACCUUACCAAGGUUUGACAUCCCGGUAGCCGUUCUCCGAAAGGAGAAUUUCAUUUAGUUGGACCGGUGACAGGUGAUGCAUGGCCGUCGUCAGCUCGUGUCGUGAGAUGUUGGGUUAAGUCCCGCAACGAGCGCAACCCUUAUGAUUUAGUUGGAUUUUUCUAAACAGACUGCCCUGGUAACAGGGAGAAGGAGGGGAUGAUGUCAGGUCAGUAUUUCCCUUACACCUUGGGCGACACACGCGCUACAAUGGCCGGUACAAUGGGCAGCUAAGCCGCGAGGUGGAGCAAAUCCCAUCAAAGCCGGUCCCAGUUCGGAUUGCAGGCUGAAACCCGCCUGCAUGAAGCCGGAAUCGCUAGUAACC
rnacentral:rRNA from 1 species